UUUGCUUGAAUCCCUGACACAUCAUGCACAGAGCCGUAACUCAACUUCCCUUUGAUUACUUUAUCAUAGUACACAACAUCAUCAAAGUGAACAUAACACGGGGUCUUAAGUUUGACUUCAAAAGACCCAUCAGAUGAUGGUAGCGUGUAGGAUUCCACGUUGUCUGGGAGUAAGCCACGAGGCAGGCCAUAUUGAGGAAGAAGAUCAUGGAUAUCUGAGGUGGUUAGGGAGAGAGAAAGACGGGUUUUUGAUAAGAGGAGUAGAGAGAGAAGGUAGAGAGAGAGUACUGCGACGAUGUUGAAGGAAGCCAUUGUCGAUGCAAAGAGAGAAGUGAAGGUGCUAAUGUAAAAGGGUUGUGAAGGGUAGAAUAAGAAGGGAAACUUGUGUUGCACGGCUUAGCGGAAUUAAAUGUUGAAGUGACUAGACCGUUGGAUUUUGGACGGUGACGAUGACAAAAAAAAAAUCUGAAGAAUUCUUAACAGAAAUGAAAAAUUUUUAUCCUUUUAUUUAUUUUAAAUCAUAAUUUAGUCCUUCGACAGUAUUUGAUUUUGAAGCUAGAGAGAGUAAAUUAUUUACUUUUAGUUGUCAAGAACAUGUAAGAGGGCUGUGAAAGGUAGAAUUGGAAGAGAGAUUUGUGUUGCAUUUGCAUGGUUUCGAGGGAUUAAAUGUUGUAGUGACAAUACCGACGUUGGAUUUUGGAGGGUGAUAAUUACACAGAUUUUUUGGUGAAGAAUUCUACACAAAGUUGAUUAUAAAUUAGUCUAUUUAUUCUCAAUAAGAAAAUAACUUAACCCUUUUAUCUUAUUAAAUUAUAAUUUAGUCCUUUGAUUAAAUUUGAUUUUAAACCUAAAGAGAUUAAAUUAUUAUUUUUUAGCUGUUAAAUGGCUUUAAUGAAUUAAACGCUGGUUAAUAAUAUAUUUUCAACUUCUCUAUGUCAAGGCCUUGGGUGAAUGUAAAAUCAUGAAACAGAGAGAGCCCUCUCUAAGAUUUAUAAUGGAUACAGGUCUAUCAAUUUCAGGCCCUGCUGAACACAACAACGGCUGCAGAGAUCCGCUGCAGACCCGGCAAAACAUGGGAUUUUUAAUUUAAAAAAUAGCACAGAAAAUAUAAAAAUUUGGCAUAAUAGUAUUGUUACAUAAAGUUUUAAUGAAAUGGAAUAAUUUUUAAAUACGUUAUAAGAUAGUUGUUAUAUUUUAAAAUAGUGACAUUAAAUAAAUAUUAAGUUUUUAAAAUGUAACAUGGUUGAACUCUAAUCUUCUACAUGACUGGUUAGAUCUAGUUGUUGACCAUUUCACACAAAAAUUAUAAUUUUAAGAAGUUUUGUCAAAAUUGUUUUUGUUCAACUUAUAAACUUAAAAAUAGACCUCAAUUAAAAUCUUAAAAAGUUAUUAUUCAUAUAAUAAUGGGUAAUUUUGAAUAGUUAUAUAUAAAUAUACCACAACUAAAUGAGAAUUUAUCUCAAACAGAUUACGCAAAUAUCCUAGUAGAUACAUUUAUGGAUCAAUGAGACAGAUCUAAGUUCAAAAAGAGAUCUGAUCGCGUUAGACUAGAAUAAUAGCUUAAAGAGAUCAUAAUUUUUUAUCUAACUAUUAGAUGAUACUCAAAUUUUUACAAGAAUUUUCAAAAACUAUUUUUCUUAUAAUAGUCACUAUUGUAUCGUUACGUAGACCGUAAAAUCUUUAGAUAUCAAAAAUCCCGUUAAUGCUGCCGGUUUUGACAGUUUUAAAAUUUUUUCUUAAAAGCAGUCGAUUGGUUUCACUAUAAACCGAUCGAACUGUUAAACUGUCCUAUUUCAUCAAAAAAAAAAAAAAAAAAAGCAAUUACUUCUAUGUCGUGUUUAUUGCACAAUUUAUCCGAAAAUAUGUUGCACUUUCUUGACAUAAAAGCAUAAAAGAGAAUUAGCAAGUUGCCUUCCAUGUUUGUCAGCCAGUCACUCAACUGGACAAUUCAAAACCAUCAAGCCACACGUAUUUCGCAUUCAAAUUAAAACCUAGCUCAAAGAAUCACAAGUUUGCCUUCCUCUCACUUGCCAAGAUUAAAUUUACCCUUACGUUUCAUACGAGGACAAUGCGAUUGAUGAGAAUUAUCCCAAUAGUUUGAACUACUAUUUCAUCCAUAGUUUCUGUAUUUAUGCAUAUCCAAAUCAUUGCUCGGCAUAAGGUGAGUCCCUGAGCAGAAAUGUUGAAGAGCAGCAUUUAUUUACAAUCCAUAUUACAUAAAUUGGCUUCAAUUUCUCAAAGAUGUAGAUUAAGCUGGAGAACUUCAAAGUUCAGAGUGAGCAGGCAACGCAAGAGAAGAUUUGGUCUGCUUCCACCUGCAACAAGAGCAUGAAACCUUCUUAAGUCCUUGAAAAACUUCACAGAAUGUGACUUCUAAUAUUAUAACUUUCGGCUAUUGCAUCCAUUGGAAGUCGGAACUGCAAAACUUCUAAAAGAAACCAAAAUCACAUCUCUCAUUGUUGAUUGUAUAGCAAUAUGAGUAAGUUUUUGGCCUCUGAUUUUCGACAUAAAUGACAUAUUAGAUCAAUAGAUGAUUGAAAUUCAAUAAUUAUUGAUGAAAUUUGGAAAAACUGGCAUCGGUUGAGGUGGUAUAAGAACAAUCUUAGCAAACCGAGAUCAGAUUCUAUCUGGAUCAUCAUGCAGCUUGUCAACACAAACCAUAAACUAACAAACCGAGAUCAGACUUUCUUCGCUAGAAAAACAUUACAAUUCUCCUUCCAGGAUGCUCAACUUCUGGAUUCAUCACAAUUCUCGAAAUUAAACACAGCUUUGAUGGUUGAGAAUGUUUUGGAAAAGAGGAAGCAACACCCCUUCCUGCUUUCAAGUGUCAACCACCAAUAGAAAUUACAAUUGCACAUUGAAAGAUUUGCUGAUUGACAUUGUUUUCUAAAAAGUUUGCUCAAUGAAACCUCCAAACCUUGUAUAGGUUGUUAAUGAUCCUAAUACACCAAGCUAAAAGAACCAUUUCCCCUCCCUCCCUUAUAACAAGUAUCAAGCUUCUUUGUUUCCUCCAGUUUCAUGCUAAUUUCUGUUCGCAACUUGGUGCGAGUCGCACAUUACUGCAAGUAUAGAAGGGGUCGAUUCUUCUAAAAACCAUUUCUUGCAAUCUCACCAAAAACUCUUAACAAGGCUGAUAACAAGGUACAAUCAAUGUCAGUCAAAUGCUUGAAACUCUUAACCACCUAUUGGUCCCAAAACCAAACCACACCUCCUACUACUACAAAGCUUCUACAAUUUACUUUCAGAGCAAGUGACUGCAGAUAUAAGGUAGAAUACGUGACCAUCACUUUUUUUUUUAUUGGAAACAAGAAGGAAUCCACGCAUGACUCUGUAAGAAAUUCAUUGAUGAUGCCUGAAUCUCUCUAGCUAAAUUAUUAACUCCUAAAUCGAAAUUCGACAACUUUAACUAAUAGGUUCAUAAAAUUAUAUCCAAUCUAUAAGUCCCAAAAUCUAAUCAGACCAACGACAAGAAAGCUUCUAAAUUUCCUUUUAGAAUAAGAGAUCAUCAAAUUGUCUGCUGAAACCUAAAAGGAACCCACGGCUCCAUAUGGAUUUCAUGAUCAUCCCUAAAUUAUCUGGGAACCCCCUAAUCACCACUGCUAUAUCUAACCUCUAAACAAAAAUUCCUCAGCUUUAACUUAAAAUUCCCAUCAAUUCUCAAUAAACUCAAGCAUCACGUAACAAAACACAUAAAUCCCAUAAAUUUAAACAAUUCAGAGAAAUAAAAUCCUAAAGAUCACAACUUUUUACCUUCACAUCGACUCCAAAUAUGUCCUUAGCCCACCAACCUUCCUCUUACAAGCAGGAACAUCCUCGAACUGCUUAGCAGGCAACUCGCGGGAAAUCGGGCCAACAAAGAAACUAAUCAUACUAUCAUCAGCCUUACUAACUUCAAUCCCAGUAACUGGCAACCAAACAAAGAGCUUCUUUGCUUGAAUCCCUGACACAUCAUGCACAGAGCCGUAACUCAACUUCCCUUUGAUUACUUUAUCAUAGUACACAACAUCAUCAAAGUGAACAUAACACGGGGUCUUAAGUUUGACUUCAAAAGACCCAUCAGAUGAUGGUAGAGUGAAGGAUUCCACAUUGUCGGGGAGCAAGCCACGUGGCAGGCCAUAUUGAGGAAGAAGAUCAUGGAUAUCUGAGGUGGUUAGGGAGAGAGAAAGACGGGUUUUUGAUAAGAGGAGUAGAGAGAGAAGGUAGAGAGAGAGAGUGAGGAUGUUGAAGGAA
rnacentral:lncRNA from 1 species